rnacentral:tRNA from 1 species
AUUUAUGUAGUUUAACUAUAAACAUUACAUUUUCACUGUAAAGAUAUUAUAUCUAAAAUAAUCAUAAAUU